AUGACAUUAAGCUGGGAUGGCUACAUCAAGGUGAACACAGACGCUGCGAUCCAGCGCGAUGCUGGCAAUGCAGGUGCGGGGGGUGUCGCCCGCUCUUCAUCGGCUUUCCUGGGUGCAUGGUGCAAACCCCACAUGGGGGUCACGGAUCCUUUCAUUGCCGAAGUGCUCUCUCUUCGGGAGGGCACCAUCUUUGCGAAGCUUCGAGGAUUCACGCAUGUGCAACUUGAGACCGACUGUCUAGAGGCAGUAAACCUCUGGAACUCUAGCUACACUGAUCUUUCGGUGGUAGCACCGAUUCUGUUCGAAAUUAGAGAGCUCUCUGCUAGUUUUUUGUCUUUUGAUAUUUCUCAUGUAAGUAGAGCUGCUAACGGUCCUGCACACUUGUGUGCUAAGCGUGCAUGUACGCUUAACGUGACCGAGAGCUGGCUAGAUACCACUCCAAGCUUCCUGAUCAGCAGCCUCUUGGCUGACUGCCCAGCGAACGCCUUUAUUCAAUAA
rnacentral:rRNA from 1 species